rnacentral:tRNA from 1 species
GCCAGUGUCGCUCAAUGGAUAGAGUGUCAGCCCUUGCACUGAAUGACUGUGGGUUCGAUUCCCAGUCAAGGGCA